UUGAAAUAGUCAAAACUAAUAUAAACGCAAUGUAGGAAACAAUUAUUGAGUGUAUGUUUUCAGAUGUAAUAUAUAUUUGAAAAUGGGGAUAUUUAUGCCAAAGUUUGUAACGGACAGCUGCACAUCAGUAAAGGAAAGCUAUUAUAGCUUCAAGAAUGGGGUCAAAGAAAUCAAAGAAAACUUCGAACUGGCCAAAACGGCGUUUAGAAUGGCUCGUUCACUAAACACUAGCAAAUUUGCAGAAACAAGGGAUCCAAAGGACAUAGUAGAUGCAAUACAUAAUUCUGGGGAUGCCAUUCCAGAAUCAUAUAAGUCAUUAAUGAAUAUGAUACCUGAGGAGACGAUGGCACGAUUGACAAAUAUUUUGUUCGAAACAUUUCACAAAAACAAUAAAUUUGGUCAGAACAAUCCUGAGUCCUCUCCAGAAAGGACCAGCCCAAGCCCCAGUGUCACAGAGGAAACGGCGGCAUUUGAAUAUACAAAAGCUCAAAGCAUAAAGACUCAUAAAGAAGCUCAAAACUAUCCCUCUGGAGAAGACGUUUCAAAGGCAAUUGAAAGAAUGACUGACGACAGGCCAGAGAUUGUCAGCCCCACUGAGAGCGAUACCAGACGACCAGUCUCACAGACGGUGAUUUUUUAGAUUACAUUGAUGUCGACCCUCCUUCUAACAUAAACUUCAAUCCUGAAUAUACUGAGAUGAAAUCUGACGAUGAAAAGGAAACUCGAUUUGACAAUAAUCUUAAAAAUCAGGAAAAUACAGAGGAGGAGCCGAAACAUAAUCCUUUUGGUUUGGGAAACGAUUUCAACUAUCACCGACCUUCAGAAUCAGCCCACGAGCCUUUCAUUGACAAUGCUGAUUCUCCACCAUUCGGGUCCAAAGAAAACAAUUAUAACAGAUCACAAAAUGGGGACAGUUUUGCCGAUAAAUCUCCACAAAAUAACUCUUCGCGAACCUACGAGGAAAAGACAAAAGACCUCCCUCCAAUGACAAAAAGACUAGGUGAAGAGCUUACAAGGAGAUUUGGAACCAACUGGAGACAAAGGGUUCCCGGGUUUUUACACAAUCCAGAACUGCAGGACAACAUUCCUGACUUGGGAUUAGGACUUUCUAAGGAGAACAACCAAGAUAUGAUAAUGUCAAUGUCAAGAGUGAUAAAGGACUUGAUGUGACCGUGCAGCAAGUAUUGAGGAAAUUAUUGCCAGAGAAGAUCCUAGGGAGAUUAUGAAAUUAAUUCCUCUGCCAAAUCUUCGUGGGUAUAAAAACUUAAUAUUUAAUAUAUAUAUAUACCCCGCACUUUUUUAUAUUUAUGUAAAUAAUCUAUAUCUAUCCUAUUAUAUACAAUUCUACUGGUGUCUGUCUGUAUUUGUACUAAUAAUAGGAGCAACAUCUACUAAACCGACUGGGCUCAAAUUUUACAAUAAUAUAGCUACCAUACCAAGAAUGGUAAUAGGACUAUUCACACUUCGAUACUGACCGUGUACUUUGCCUCUUUGGCUUUAAAAGUUCUGUGGUAAUGAUUUUAAAAGUAAAUAUUGAUUGGUCUCCAUGGCUGCAACGAGAACACUCACAAUGUUUACAUUUGCUUUGAUAGUUCAAUGUAAACCAGAAGAACUGCCAAAUUGCGUAUUUCAUAAUUUUUUAGACAGCUGAUUAAGAAAUUAAAGAAGAAAUUAAAUAUAAUACAACUAUUAAGUUGGUUUAGUGGUAGAUUUAUUUAAUCUAAAACUUUACCAUAAGAUUAUUUAUUCUUGAACUAUGUCAAUAAUAUAGAAAUAAAAAAAGAUUCUUUAACCACUAUAUCAACCUAGGCUCUACUUUAGAUUUUUUAAAGUGUCAAAGUUGUGAAAAUAAUGAUAUUGAUAUAUUUCUAUGGAAGAAAUAUGAAAAUUACUAUGUAUAGAUGUUUUGUAUGAAUUUGGACGAUAUUUUUCAUAAAUUAGAACUGCUUAACAUGUGUUGGAUUAUCUUAACAUAACUUGCAAUUUACAUGUACUUUUUUCUAAAAUCAAUAAAAUAUAUGUUACUAUGUUUACUUAAUGGUUACUGUGAUAAUGUAAAGGCAAUGGACUAUGGAACUGAUUAAAAAAACAGGUUUGCAUAUUGAGUUGUUCGUAGAUAUUUUUGUAGAGUAGAAUCAGACAUGAAAUGAAACAUACUGUAUUUAUAUUUUUUUGUCCUUGAUGUUUUGAUAAGCAUAUUUAGGUUUGUCUGCGGUCUGUAAUGCUCAAUUUCAUUUGUAAAUAAAAUUAUUAUGUACUAAAGAUAUAAAAAAUCAAGUCUUCUUAUAAUUUCAUUAACAAUAAAUCCUCAUUGGCAUUACUUCUUACACGAGCUAAAUUACUAAAACCCACCUUUUUAUAGUAUAGAUAUAGUUUAUUUAAUAUUUCAACAGACUAUUGAUAAGACACAACAAUAUUUCUUAAGUUUAUAACAGCUGAUGUUGGUGUUGCUAAUUAUUUAUUGUGAGUGAAUAUGGAAGGAUUUGUUAUUUAAUUUAAAGAUUGACGUAAAAAAUAUUCAUUUAAAUUUAAUAAUUAGUAGUUUUCAAACACCAAGAUUAAAAUUUAAAAUUUCGAAAAUAAUGAAAAAAAUAAAUAAAUAAGAAAGAUGAAGGUAAAUCAUGGUAUGUGAAAAUAAUAUUUGAAAAUUUGUUAAGUUUUUCUCAUAUCAGCCUACACAAGAUUAAUCAAAACCAAAAUGGCGGUUUCGAGUACUUACCUGAUUUAAAAGACACAAAAGAUUAUAUAAAGGUGAUAAAGGUUGAAUUUUGUUUCUAAAUACCUUAGCGGAUGUGUAACUAUUUUAUAAAACAGAUGUUAAAAUGUUAUUAGGAUCAAAAUGUUUCUAUUUCAUGUCCUCUUCCUUUUGCAAAGGACGGGCACAACAGCUAGUUUCUAAUAAAACUGUACAAACAAGCUAUCUUAUUAAAUGAGCGAAUUACCUACUAAAGUAUUCUACUGCUAAUGUGAAAGUAAAUAGAUAGUAUAAUGUAUAAUGCAUGUUAUUGGACUACAAGAGGAAAGAAACAAUUAUGAUUAA